UAGAGAACUGAGGUGGUUUGAGGCUCUGUUCUCUCCUGUAGUGUCUAGUAGAGAACUGAGGUGGUUUUGAGGCCCUGCCGUUUCUUAAAAUGCAAGGCUAUAGACAAACCUCAGACAAUA
rnacentral:snoRNA from 1 species